UACGGAGGGUGCAAGCGUUGCUCGGAAUCACUGGGCGUAAAGGGUGCGUAGGCGGCCGUGCAAGUCUGGCGUGAAAGCCCCGGGCUCAGCCCGGGAAGUGCGCUCGAAACUGCGCGGCUCGAGUGCCGGAGGGGAGAGUGGAAUUCCUGGUGUAGCGGUGAAAUGCGUAGAUAUCCGGAGGAAUACCGGUGGCGAAAGCGACUCUCUGGACGGCAACUGACGCUGAGGCACGAAAGCGUGGGGAGCAAACAGG
rnacentral:rRNA from 1 species